rnacentral:rRNA from 1 species
GAUGAACGCUAGCGGCAGGCUUAACACAUGCAAGUCGAGGGGCAGCACGUCUUCGGAUGGUGGCGACCGGCGCACGGGUGCGUAACGCGUAUACAACCUACCUUAUAGAGGGGAAUAGCCCAGAGAAAUUUGGAUUAAUGCCCCAUAGUAUUAUUGAAUAGCAUUAUUUGAUGAUUAAACAUUUAUGGCUAUAAGAUGGGUAUGCGUUCUAUUAGCUAGAUGGUAAGGUAACGGCUUACCAUGGCGACGAUAGAUAGGGGUCCUGAGAGGGAGAUCCCCCACACUGGUACUGAGACACGGACCAGGCUCCUACGGGAGGCAGCAGUGAGGAAUAUUGGACAAUGGGCGAGAGCCUGAUCCAGCCAUGCCGCGUGCAGGAAGACGGCCCUAUGGGUUGUAAACUGCUUUUAUACGGGAAGAAACACUCCUUCGUGAAGGAGCUUGACGGUACCGUAAGAAUAAGGAUCGGCUAACUCCGUGCCAGCAGCCGAC